rnacentral:rRNA from 1 species
GACAGAGGGGGCAAGCGUUGCUCGGAAUUACUGGGCGUAAAGGGCGCGUAGGCGGGAUGGCAAGUCGGUCGUGAAAUCCUUCGGCUCAACCGAAGAGCGUCGAUCGAUACUGCCGUCCUUGAGGGUCGCAGAGGAGACUGGAAUUCCCGGUGUAGCGGUGAAAUGUGUAGAGAUCGGGAGGAACACCGGUGGCGAAGGCGGGUCUCUGGGCGAUUCCUGACGCUGAGGCGCGAAAGCGUGGGGAGCAAACGGGAUUAGAUACCCCGGUAGUCCACGCUGUAAACGAUGACGACUAGGUGUGGGGGGGUUCAGUCCCUUCCGUGCCGCAGCUAACGCAUUAAGUUCCCCGCCUGGGGAGUACGGCCGCAAGGCUAAAACUCAAAGGAAUUGACGG